rnacentral:rRNA from 1 species
AGCAGCCGCGGUAAUUCCAGCUCCAAUAGCGUAUAUUAAAGUUGUUGCAGUUAAAAAGCUCGUAGUUGAAUUUCGGGGUCAGUAGGCUGGUCGUGCCACAGGUAUGUACUGGUCUUACUGAUUCCUCCUUCCUGAUGAACCGUAAUGCCAUUAAUUUGGUGUUGCGGGGAAUCUGGACUGUUACUUUGAAAAAAUUAGAGUGUUUAAAGCAGGCUAACGCUUGAAUACAUUAGCAUGGAAUAAUGAAAUAGGACGAUCGAUCCUAUUUUGUUGGUUUCUAGGAUUGACGUAAUGAUUAAUAGGGAUAGUUGGGGGCAUUAGUAUUCAAUUGUCAGAGGUGAAAUUCUUGGAUUUAUUGAAGACUAACUACUGCGAAAGCAUUUGCCAAGGAUGUUCUCAUUAAUCAAGAACGAAAGUUAGGGGAUCGAAGACGAUCAGAUACCGUCGUAGUCUUAACCAUAAACUAUGCCGACUAGGGAUCGGAUGAUGUUAAUUUUUUAAUGA